rnacentral:lncRNA from 8 species
UAAAAAGUUAACAAAAAACUGUGAACUUCCUUCUGACUAACAAACAUUGAGGCUGACAGAUGCAGUACCGUACAAUACAUCAUGGUUGUACCUCGUUAGAAUCAGCUGAUAUUCUGAGGAACUGGGCCUCUUUUGACACCCAAUGGCUAUCUAGUUUCAGUUGACAGCAUCCUCGCUGGCCAAGGAGAGAUCAGGGACUUCAUCCAGACCAAAUGGCUCCUUAUAAAGUCUCUCUGUGGAGUCCUUCUGUCAUUGGUAUUCUGUGGGAGAGCUGCUCGACCGCAGGGAGGAUAUGGUGGGCUGUGUACGAUACGCUGUGCGUUCACUGCUGAUGAGUUGAUGAUGGUCACAGAGUUAAACAGAGUGUGAAAACACCAUCUCCCCUGGACGGACGUGACGGCCAUCUUAACUUGUCCAGCACAGCACAGGUAGUAGAGUCAAUGGGGAAAUUGCUGGAGACCUACUGUGGCCCUUCUCUCAUUUGCACACUGACAGUAUGAUCCCAUGUUUUGUAGUGGUCUUUAGUUGUAGGCGUAAGCCGACAUAUUACAUAAAGUAUUAACCAAGCAGCAUUUGUCAUUAUAACUUGUUGUUUCAUGCCUAUGAAGUCUCUGUGUGUGAGUGUGGAAAGAAUACUAACAGGAUAAGGUUGAUUUAUAAGAUACAUGGUCGUGUUCCCUAAAAGCAGCUUUUCCAUCAUCAUCACUCCUCAUCUUCACUGGGGCUCUGAAUAGACCAGACACACGUGUUGAGCUUGUGAUUAACGGCACAAUGGGCUGUUUGUUGCUGCCUCUCUCU